rnacentral:rRNA from 1 species
GACGAACGCUGGCGGCGUGCCUAAUACAUGCAAGUUGAGCGCUGAAGGUUGGUACUUGUACCGACUGGAUGAGCAGCGAACGGGUGAGUAACGCGUGGGGAAUCUGCCUUUGAGCGGGGGACAACAUUUGGAAACGAAUGCUAAUACCGCAUAAAAACUUUAAACACAAGUUUUAAGGUUGAAAGAUGCAAUUGCAUCACUCAAAGAUGAUCCCGCGUUGUAUUAGCUAGGUGGUGAGGUAAAGGCUCACCAAGGCGAUGAUACAUAGCCGACCUGAGAGGGUGAACGGCCCCAUUGGGAAUGAGACACGGCCCCAACUCCUUCGGGAGGGAGCAGGAGGGAAUCUUCGGACAUGGACGAAAGUCUGACCGCGCAACGCCGCGUGAGUGAAGAAGGUUUUCGGAUCGUAAAACUCUGUUGGUAGGGAAGAAAGUUGGUGAGAGUGGAAAGCUCAUCAAGUGACGGUAACUACACAGAAAGGGACGGCUAACUACGUG